GACGUAGGGCGCGAGCGUUGUCCGGAUUUAUUGGGCGUAAAGAGCUCGUAGGCGGCUUGUCGCGUCGUCCGUGAAAACUUGGGGCUCAACCCCAAGCUUGCGGUCGAUACGGGCAGGCUGGAGUUUGGUAGGGGAGACUGGAAUUCCUGGUGUAGCGGUGAAAUGCGCAGAUAUCAGGAGGAACACCGGUGGCGAAGGCGGAUCUCUGGGCCAUUACUGACGCUGAGGAGCGAAAGCCAGGGGAGCAAACAGG
rnacentral:rRNA from 1 species